rnacentral:rRNA from 1 species
UACGUAGGGGGCAAGCGUUAUCCGGAAUUACUGGGUGUAAAGGGCGUGCAGCCGGAGAGACAAGUCAGAUGUGAAAUCCACGGGCUCAACUCGUGAACUGCAUUUGAAACUGUUUCCCUUGAGUGUCGGAGAGGUAAUCGGAAUUCCUUGUGUAGCGGUGAAAUGCGUAGAUAUAAGGAAGAACACCAGUGGCGAAGGCGGAUUACUGGACGAUAACUGACGGUGAGGCGCGAAAGCGUGGGGAGCAAACAGG